rnacentral:rRNA from 1 species
GUGGGGAAUAUUGGACAAUGGGGGGAACCCUGAUCCAGCCAUGCCGCAUGUGUGAAGAAGGCCUUUUGGUUGUAAAGCACUUUAAGCGAGGAGGAGGCUACCGAGAUUAAUACUCUUGGAUAGUGGACGUUACUCGCAGAAUAAGCACCGGCUAACUCUGUGCCAGCAGCCGCGGUAAUACAGAGGGUGCAAGCGUUAAUCGGAUUUACUGGGCGUAAAGCGCGCGUAGGUGGCCAAUUAAGUCAAAUGUGAAAUCCCCGAGCUUAACUUGGGAAUUGCAUUCGAUACUGGGUGGCUAGAGUAUGGGAGAGGAUGGUAGAAUUCCAGGUGUAGCGGUGAAAUGCGUAGAGAUCUGGAGGAAUACCGAUGGCGAAGGCAGCCAUCUGGCCUAAUACUGACACUGAGGUGCGAAAGCAUGGGGAGCAAACAGGAUUAGAUACCCUGGUAGUCC